rnacentral:rRNA from 1 species
UCCUACGGGAGGCAGCAGUAGGGAAUCUUCCGCAAUGGACGAAAGUCUGACGGAGCGACGCCGCGUGAGUGAUGAAGGCUUUCGGGUCGUAAAACUCUGUUGUUAGGGAAGAACAAGUGCUAGUUGAAUAAGCUGGCACCUUGACGGUACCUAACCAGAAAGCCACGGCUAACUACGUGCCAGCAGCCGCGGUAAUACGUAGGCGGCGAGCGUUAUCCGGAAUUAUUGGGCGUAAAGCGCGCGCAGGUGGUUUCUUAAGUCUGAUGUAAAAGCCCACGGCUCAACCGUGGAGGGUCAUUGGAAACUGGGAGACUUGAGUGCAGAAGAGGAAAGUGGAAUUCCAUGUGUAGCGGUGAAAUGCGUAGAGAUAUGGAGGAACACCAGUGGCGAAGGCGACUUUCUGGUCUGUAACUGACACUGAGGCGCGAAAGCGUGGGGAGCAAACAGGAUUAGAUACCCUGGUAGUCCACGCCGUAAACGAUGAGUGCUAAGUGUUAGAGGGUUUCCGCCCUUUAGUGCUGAAGUUAACGCAUUAAGCACUCCGCCUGGGGAGUACGGCCGCAAGGCUGAAACUCAAAGG